AGAGCAAUAGCUCUGUGGAAGAACAUCUGUUUCACAUGCAGAGGAUCCCAGGUUCAAUCCCUGCCAACUCUA